GAUAAUUGUUGCUUUGAAUAUCACAGUUAUCGUCAAUACUGGUAUAUUGCGACAACCCUAGUCUGUUAUUUUCAAUGUUUUUAGGAUGCCGUGUUAAAGUUAAAAUAGCCUUAAAACUAGAUAUGCAUUGAUGUAUGUUUUUUAAUGUGGACCAGUCAGAUGAAUCUAGGGGCGGGUUUAGCAUAUGUACAAUCAUACAAGAGUGUUGACAUAAGCAACAUGCACAGAAAUGAAUGUGUCUAUAAAUGCUCCUUCCGUUCAGUUUUGUUUUGCUUCGUCUAGCAGUUUAAUGCAAGAAUGCAUCCUUUGUGAAGGGUUAUCCUAUUUAGGAACAGGAGCAUUUGGUCUUGGAGAGUUGGAUAAAUGCUCAAACUCCCAAGAAGAGAUCGAUGCUCUUCUCAGAACUCUCAUUCAGACAUCAGUGAGGAUAAAGAAGUGGGAUAUGUCUCAUCUGACCUGCAGUUCAAGUGCUGAUGUUCAAGGGCAUCUGAUGAAAACAUGCAGAAGACUGAACUCAGGGGAGGGAGAAGGAGGAUUGCAGCCUGCAAUGCUAAACUAUUUUCAAGACAAUAGAGCAGCUGAGCAUGAAAGAUGCCACAUGAAAACCUUGGGGAUGGGUAAAUAAAGUCUGGAGAAUGUUAAUGUGAGGUUCCACAGCUCUAAAGAGAGGAUGGGAAGGAAAUCAAGAUUGUAUUCUCUUCUAAAGUGGACAGAAGAUUGAGUUGGCAGCUGAUAUUUCCUCACUUUCUGUAAGGCCCUUGAACUGAAAAAAAGAAGAAAUCCACAAAAUCAAACACUCACAAUGCUGAGUUUGUAGAGUUUCAUAAAAAGCAAUGUUAAUCACUUUUGAAAGGUUUCUGGAGUCUUCUCAUUCAGUAUAAGUGCUUGUGUUGACUCUCAUUAAUACUUAGAAUAUUGACUCUAUAAAAUUUAAAUUCUAAAACAUUUUCCAUUACACCUUUAGCUAAAGUCGACAUGACAUUCAGAGUCAACCCUGUUUAUUUUCUUAAUGGAUGUUCCUG
ensembl:lncRNA